GACGAACGCUGGCGGCGUGCUUAACACAUGCAAGUCGAACGGAAAGGCCCUGUUUUUGUGGGGUGCUCGAGUGGCGAACGGGUGAGUAACACGUGAGUUACCUGCCCUUUACUUUUGGAUAACUUCAGGAAACUGGGGUUACUACCGGAUAGGAGCUCCUGCUGCAUGGGGGGGGUUGGAUAGUUUUGGCGGUUGUGGAUGGACUCGCGGUUUAUUAGCUUGUGGGUGGGGGGGUGGCUUAACAAGGCUUUGGUGGGUAGCCGGGCUGGGAGGGGGGCCGGGCCCAAUGGGGACUAGAAAAGGGCCAGACUCCCACGGGGGGGAAGAGGGGGGGAAUUUUGACAAAUGGGCGGAAGCCUGAUGCAGCAACGCCGCGUGCGGAAUGCCGGCCUUCGGGUUGUAAACCGCUUUCGCAUGUGACGAGGCGGGAGUGACGGUAAUGGGAAAAGAAGCACCGGCUAACUACGUG
rnacentral:rRNA from 1 species